GGCCAGAGACGGGCCCUUUGGGGAAAGAUCUGGGCUGAAUGCGAGAGAAAAGCGCCCGCGGUCAGCAGCUCCAGGACUGGAGAUAACAGGCUGGACGCUUUUGUGGGCCAGGAAGCGGAUCGUGAUCCCCUGAAUUGCUUCUACAUGAGCUCCACAGAAGAAGGACGUCGAGUGGUGAUGGAUCAGUGACACACGGACAUCAGAGUUUUUGACUGGAAGCAUGGAAGUUGCGGAUGUGUGCUCCAGGCCAGUUCCCAAUGGAUACGGAAACAAGAUUUCCCAAGCAAAUGCAAGGGACCGAGGCGCCGAUCUUACAUGUUCCAACUCUAUUGGGUUCAUUGAUGAUGAGAAGGGAGAGGCUUCCAGGCACAGAAAGAAGGCCCGGGGCAGCCGGAUUUGGAAUUUCGUUAGCCGUAAAAAAAGCUCCGCCAUGAUUUCCAAGAGGCCCCAGUCCAUGAUCAUCUUUGGCGAUCACGUGGAGGUCUUGGAGCAAAACCGUAAGAUGUCUUUCAUGGACAGGAUGAAGUCUUUCAAGAAGCUGCGGUCGCCGGGUUCCUCCAAGAACGCCUCCAAAACCAAGGCCCUCGUCAUCUCUCUGGAAACGCAGGAGGAAUUGGAGCAGAAAGCUCUCCAGAGAAUUCGGAAGCUCAGUGACGGCCAGCGGCCUUUUCGGCAUUCCUACGCCGGUUUCAUCGAAGAUCUGGAUUCUUCUUUUGAAGACGUUGAGUUGAAUAGCUGUGUCCUCGACCUCGACUCCUGUGACGGCAAAUGGCACCGGAAUGUGGUCACUGGAACACAUAGUGAGGAUAUGGAUAAUGGUUGCGUGUUCAAAGGAGACAAAACAUCCGCUCCUGAGUUUGAAUCUGGAGCGACACAAGGAGGCCCUCAAAGGAAGUACACGGAGAGUAAGAAAGGGAGGAGCUCAGAGGUGUGGAGUUACCUGAGAGGGAUUUCUUUGACCGGCAAAGACCAUUCGAAACUUCCGCUCCAAAGAGUGGACCCCAGUGUCCAGGAUUUGGCAAACGCGGCUGAGAACUCCCUCCCAUAUUUUGACUUUGAGAUGAAGUGUGAGGAGGACCUCAACCAGCCUAAGAGGCCAAAGGGAAACCACUUUGGCGGCGUCUUUCGAUUUUUCAACACAGUCGCCGAGGCGGCGAGGAAAUGGAGAGGGUCUUCCAAAACGUUUUCGCCGGAAGAAGAGAGAGCAAACUCCAGGUCGGGAUGCCGAAAGCGGUCUUUGAACGUCACCAAGGACAACGCCGACGGUUUCUCUCCCAUGGAUUUAUCUCCCGAUUCUGGGAUUUGGGAGAACCACAGCUCGAAAGGCUCGGCCAGGAAAGCCCCGACCCAAGGGAGUACAAAUGCUGAAGUUUCCCACAAAGUCUUCAGCGAGAAUAGUAGUUUCCAUGAAAUGUCCUUUUCGCCCCCAGCUUUUCCCCCGUCGGGAUUUCCAAAUGAUUGUACGUAUGUCCGCGAGUGUCACCUAACCAUGGAUCUGCCCCGGGUUCGUGAUCCACUUUCUAGUAAAGGCAACCAGGACGUAAACAAUGCUCCGAUCGAUACUUGGCUGUUAGAUUCCUGGGGCCAAGAGGACUGUGGUCACGGCGAAAUGGCAAAUUCAGCCCCGCAAAACUUGGAUCAGGAUCUGACCACAAUUAAGAGCAUUGUUACCAACUCUCUAGACUGUGAAAAGGGUUGUGGUGAUGACUCAAACAUAGAAAUUUUUCAUAGGACUAAUCAGGGUACGUUGGGUCUAAACAACACUUCUGCAGAUUGUAGUUCUGUUCCACAAAGUGUUAGCGAUCCUCCAGAUUUGGCCAGGACUUGCUGCAGAAUUUCAGUAGAUACAGAUGGCCUGGAUAGACUUUCUCAGGCUACUCUAGACCUGGAGUUGCCAUCUGCUGAGAUCCUAGAUGUGCAACCAAGCUUUGAAAGCAUCCCGGUUGAUGACGAAUGCUUCGUCAAUAUCCAGAUGGACCACGAGGACCAAGUGACAGCUCCGGCCGUUUUCCAUGACUGUCCCAUCGAUACCGUGAGCAUUAGAACGGCUCUCUCGGAUAAUCAAGUUUUGGGAAGUCUUGUAGAAGAUGUUCACAGUAACUGCACAUCAUCUUCUUUAAACUGCCUGGAUCAGCAGGCGCUGGAUCGAGAGAACUUCCCCAUCAAAGUGCAUGGAAACACCUUGCCGUUGGAGUCAAAUACCUUGUGGAAACCUUGCAAAAUGGACCGUUCGCAGCCACGGAGAAUCUGCCACCCGAUCCAGAGGGGCCUGUGCUCAAUCGUGCCCUUCAAUGAAUUCAACAAUGGGAAGCCGCUGUCUCAUCCCCUUCAUCCGUCACCGGAAUCUCCUCCUUUCAAACUCCUCUUGGAAAGAUGCCGGUCUUUGCCCCUUUCCCAAAGCACUCCCAUGGAUUUGGAUCAGCUGGGAUGGAAGAGGAAAGUCUUGCUGAGCGUUGGGGCCGAGAAUGACUUGGGAUCCAAAACUCUGGAGGUGCGUCGAGACGGGAAGAACGGCCGGAGUCGAUGGAAACCGCUCAAAGCUGGAGCCGAACAGCUGCUGCUCAAUAAGGUAAGCCUUUGCCAGAAAAUUUGUUUUCAUCCACCAUUUAUUUGUGGCAUAGUUAUGGAACAUACGGUACAUCA
rnacentral:lncRNA from 11 species